GGCGCCCUAGCUCAGUUGGUUAGAGCGACGGAAUCAUAAUCCGCAGGUCCCCAGUUCGAGUCUGGGGGGCGCCACCA
rnacentral:tRNA from 1 species